GAUCAUGGCUCAGGAUGAACGCUAGCUACAGGCUUAACACAUGCAAGUCGAGGGGGCAGCAUGAACUUAGCUUGCUAAGUUUGAUGGCGACCGGCGCACGGGUGAGUAACACGUAUCCAACCUGCCGAUGACGUCGGGGAUAGCCUUUCGAAAGAAAGAUUAAUACCCGAUGGCAUAGUUCUUCCGCAUGGUAGAACUAUUAAAGAAUUUCGGUCAUCAAUGGGGAUGCGUUCCA
rnacentral:rRNA from 1 species